GACGAACGCUGGCGGCGUGCUUAACACAUGCAAGUCGAACGGAAAGGCCCUGCUUUUGUGGGGUGCUCGAGUGGCGAACGGGUGAGUAACACGUGAGUAACCUGCCCUUGACUUUGGGAUAACUUCAGGAAACUAGGGCUAAUACCGGAUAGGAGCUCCUGCUGCAUGGUGGGGGUUGGAAAGUUUCGGCGGUUGGGGAUGGACUCGCGGCUUAUCAGCUUGUUGGUGGGGUAGUGGCUUACCAAGGCUUUGACGGGUAGCCGACCUGAGAGGGUGACCGGCCACAUUGGGACUGAGAUACGGCCCAGACUCCUACGGGAGGCAGCAGUGGGGAAUAUUGCACAAUGGGCGGAAGCCUGAUGCAGCAACGCCGCGUGCGGGAUGACGGCCUUCGGGUUGUAAACCGCUUUCGCCUGUGACGAAGCGUGAGUGACGGUAAUGGGUAAAGAAGCACCGGCUAACUACGUG
rnacentral:rRNA from 1 species